CCGGCAACAAUCGCGCCGGCCCGCGCGGAUGACUCCG
rnacentral:antisense_RNA from 1 species